rnacentral:rRNA from 1 species
GACGAACGCUGGCGGCGUGCUUAACACAUGCAAGUCGAGCGGAAAGGCCACUUCGGUGGUACUCGAGCGGCGAACGGGUGAGUAACACGUGAGUAAUCUGCCCCUCACUUUGGGGUAGCCACCGGAAACGGUGAUUAAUACCGGAUAUGACCAUAUGUCGCAUGGCGUGUGGUGGAAAGUUUUUCGGUGAGGGAUGUGCUCGCGGCCUAUCAGCUUGAUGGUGAGGUAAUGGCUCACCAUGGCUUCGACGGGUAGCCGGCCUGAGAGGGUGACCGGUCACACUGGGACUGAGACACGGCCCAGACUCCUACGGGAGGCAGCAGUGGGGAAUAUUGGACAAUGGGCGGAAGCCUGAUCCAGCAACGCCGCGUGAGGGAUGACGGCCUUCGGGUUGUAAACCUCUUUCAGUACCGACGAAGCGCAAGUGACGGUAGGUACAGAAGAAGCACCGGCCAACUACGUG